rnacentral:rRNA from 1 species
GAUGAACGCUGGCGGCGUGCCUAACACAUGCAAGUCGAGCGUGAACCCUUAGAAUGAAACUUCGGUCGAAUGAAGAGGGGGAAAGCGGCGGACGGGUGAGUAACGCGUAGGCAACCUGCCCCGUACAGAGGGAUAGCCUCGGGAAACCGGGAUUAAAACCUCAUAAUACCAUGGUAUCACAUGAUGCAAUGGUCAAAGAUUUAUCGGUAUGGGAUGGGCCUGCGUCUGAUUAGCUGGUUGGUGGGUAACGGCCUACCAAGGCAACGAUCAGUAGCCGACCUGAGAGGGUAAUCGGCCACAUUGGAACUGAGACACGGUCCAAACUCCUACGGGAGGCAGCAGUGGGGAAUAUUGCACAAUGGGCGAAAGCCUGAUGCAGCAACGCCGCGUGAGCGAAGAAGGCCUUGGGUCGUAAAGCUCUGUCGGGAAGGAAGAUAAUGACGGUACUUCCCGAGGAAGCCCCGGCUAACUACGUG